rnacentral:rRNA from 1 species
UGGGGAAUUUUGGACAAUGGGGGCAACCCUGAUCCAGCAAUGCCGCGUGAGUGAAGAAGGCCUUCGGGUUGUAAAGCUCUUUUGUCAGGGAAGAAACGGUAGUAGCGAAUAACUACUACUAAUGACGGUACCUGAAGAAUAAGCACCGGCUAACUACGUGCCAGCAGCCGCGGUAAUACGUAGGGUGCAAGCGUUAAUCGGAAUUACUGGGCGUAAAGCGUGCGCAGGCGGUUGUGUAAGUCAGAUGUGAAAUCCCCGGGCUCAACCUGGGAAUUGCAUUUGAGACUGCACGGCUAGAGUGUGUCAGAGGGGGGUAGAAUUCCACGUGUAGCAGUGAAAUGCGUAGAUAUGUGGAGGAAUACCGAUGGCGAAGGCAGCCCCCUGGGAUAACACUGACGCUCAUGCACGAAAGCGUGGAGAGCAAACAGGAUUAGAUACCCACGUAGUCCCUGAGCGGGCUGGCAAGGCGCAU